UACGGAGGAUCCUAGUGUUAUCCGGAUUUAUUGGGUUUAAAGGGAGCGUAGGCGGGAGGUCAAGUCAGCUGUGAAAUGUAUCUGCUUAACGGGUACACUGCAGUUGAAACUGGUUUUCUUGAGUGCGUAAGAGGCAGGCGGAAUUCGUUGUGUAGCGGUGAAAUGCUUAGAUAUGACGAGGAACUCCUAUUGCGAAGGCAGCUUGCUGGGUCGUUACUGACGCUGAGGAGCGAAAGCGUGGGUAGCGAACAGGAUUAGAUACCCU
rnacentral:rRNA from 1 species